GCAGAGCGAGCAGCAGGGCGAGGGCGAACGGGGCGAAGGUGUUGGGGACCAUCCUGCAGCGGUCAGCGGCUUGUGGGUGACGAGGCGGCGGCGUCGGGCAGGCGGCGGCGUCGGGCUGCCGGGCAGCGAGGGGAGCCGAGAUGCUCUCUAUGAAUAGAGAGAGUGCCUAUUUACUCUGAAAUACUUGGCACGAUUCACUCCUUGCCUGAGGCUGGAAAUGGAACUCCUGCAAGCAGAAUAAAAGAGAUGUGUGAAAAACAUGUUUUUUCUUCCUCUGUUUCUUCAGUGAAUGCAUUCCUAAUGGCUUGUACAAAGUUGUGAUGAUGCAGCCAAAGAAGAGUUUUGAAAAGCUACAUCUCAGGCAUCAAGGUCAAGAAAAACAAUUGGCUUCACAUAUGCUUUCAGGAGACCACCUUACACUCAGUGAGAGAGGAUAGAAGUGGCCCACAAUCAUCAGCCAAUCAGUCAAACACAACUCUCUAGGCAGAGAAAGGGAGAAUGCACAAUCUGCAGCUUUUUCAGUGGGUUGGAAGGUAGGUGGAGCAGUGUCUGGGCAGGGAGAGAAGCACGCAGGAGAUGUGAGAAGGUGAGUCUGUUCCACCUAGGAUGUUUAAGGAGCCAGUUUGUUGCCAUUGCAACAUCACUUACAAAACACAAGCCCAAUCCCUAAUGAGCUUAUCUUUUAAAAUAAGAGAAACCUUUCUUGCCUCAGAGUACUUGUUAUGUACUCAGAAUGUGCUGUUCUCUUUCCAAAAGCUUUUCAUCUUAAAGUGAGUUUUCGCCAACCGGUCUGAGACGGAGCUCUGUGAAACAGCAUGGCAAAAGAACAAGGCUGCAUGCCAUUCAACUUUAAUAAGUCAUGGGAGAAGAUAUUGUUUAGCCUUGCAGAGUUUAUACUCUCAGAUUUAUAACUGGAGCUUCUCAACUCCAGGAUCUGGAUACAUGCUCCCUUGCCUCCCAACCAUGUUCUGAAGUGAGAGAAAGCCAAUUUCAUGCUCUUGGGAAGGAGAUUUGAGUACACAAGUGAGAUGGGCGACUGACUGUCCAGACGACUGUGGGACCAGAGUGCUCUGGCAUAUAUUUCAUCAUUGGUCACAGUCACUCUUACAAGAAUGGGCAGUUCUUGAUAUUGGAAGAGGUGAUCCUGGAAAACCAGUAUGAAGCAUCAGCACAGUUGAAGAAAACCAUGAGAAAUGAGAAGCACCAUGGAGAAGAGCAGGCAGCUGUUAUGAACACAAUCCAACUUCCAGGACCACCCACUGCUUCACUGCAGGAAUUGGGGCGGAUUGAGUAUGUCCUGCAGCAAGAAUAAGGGAAAUUGAGACUAAGAAUUAAGGAGGAUAGGUGUUUGACUUAAGGUGAGCCUGAGGAAGGAGAGGAAAAGAUGUUUACUGGAAUGUUUUUUUUCUGAUACCUGGAUCAGUGAUUGAAAAUUUCUGUUGAUUAGUGAUUCACUGAAUUAAGUAAAACUUGCCCAGUUUUUGCCUUUAAUGCUGGCAAAUGCAAUAGCCAGAUCUUCAUUUCAUGAAGAUCUUUAGCAUAUUCUGCUUUGAUAAAAUGGAGAUGCAUUAAUCUUUGGAAACUACAGAUAAAUGCAGAUUAGGACUCUUUAUCCUGUCUGAGUACUCUGAAGAGGGGAACACAUACAAAACUAAAAGAAACUUUGACUACAUUAAUACUAGGCUGACCUAAAGAUAAUUAACGCAACCAGCUGAUAUGCUGGUUUGAAUUUACUCCUGUACUUCUGUAAUUGCUCAGCUUCCAAACCACAUCUGGUUUAUAUCUGUUUUGGAGCCAUAGAACAGACCACAAAAGGCUGCACCCAUCUCUAGCUAUUUCCUAUUUCUUUGUAUGUUUAAAAAAAUGUAAAUUCUAAAAUUCAAUAAA